UUUUAUUACUUCACUCGACUUGUGCGCCUCGCGGGGGUAGUGCGUGCGCCGAUUGUGUUCGCGUAGAAUAUUGACGUAAAAUAUAUGUACCACCCCAGACCCUUUUGUUGACGAUGGAGAAUUUGGAUCGGAUGCUGAUUACGACCCAGUCCAGAUAGCACUGCAAAUAUGUCAAAUAGACUCUGAAGUAUUGCGAAAAAUGUAGGAGAUGGCCUUUUGGAGGAUGCGUUUCUACUUAGCGGUUUUAGAGACUUAGAAGAUCAGUCACAGCUACUCUU